rnacentral:rRNA from 1 species
UCUGGGGCAUAGCCCGCCGAAAGGCGGAUUAAUACCGCAUAAGCCAGGUGAGCGGCAUCGUUUGCUUGGUAAAGAUUUAUCGGAUUUGGAUGGGGUUGCGUAGCAUUAGCUAGUUGGCGGGGUAACGGCCCACCAAGGCGACGAUGCUUAGGGGACCUGAGAGGGUGAUCCCCCACACUGGCACUGAGAUACGGGCCAGACUCCUACGGGAGGCAGCAGUAGGGAAUAUUGGGCAAUGGGCGCGAGCCUGACCCAGCCAUGCCGCGUGCCGGAUGAAGGCCUUCUGGGUUGUAAACGGCUUUUCUCAGGGAAGAAAAAGGGGAUGCGUCCCAAACUGACGGUACCUGAGGAAUAAGCACCGGCUAACUCCGUGCCA